GGGAGGGGCUGAGGUCAUCAGUGCACAAUGGUCAGGCCCGGAGUUUCAGUCCUUGUGACCUUGUGACCUUUGAAGAACGACAGAAGGAAUCGAGGGGCGUCGUGGCGACCGGGUUAGGUUUAUCUGCUGCUCUGGCUCCUUGCUCCUAGACCUAGGGGCGGGCCCCUAGUUAUGCGGCGUGCAGGCGACGGGAAGCGCUUGUCGUGAGCAGCAGCGAUGAGAUCAGUUUGCAUAACCACAGCGUCGGGGUGGGGAGUGCAGCCAGUCACGCAGCCACCACCCGACCCGGCUCAGGCUCUGCCCAGGUGGCAGCGGCUGCCCCACGGAUUUGGGUAGCUGGAGGUGGUCCUGCCCCUUCAAGGCCAGGGCCUGCUGGGGUGUCAGAAUCAUUCCAAGGGAGUGUCCAGGAGGCAGUGGGGAGGAGGGGAGCCACACACACACAAAAAACCCCCGCAACCUUCAGGGUUUGCAGACUGGAUUCUAUUAGGCAGGUUUCCAGACACAGUGAAAACCACUGUGCCUAGUAGGUAACUUCAAAGACCACUAUCAUGGAAAUCAAAGGUCAUUAAAAGGGGCCUUUAAUUUGUUUAUAUUAUUUCGCCUAGCAGUCUUUCCUAUGUGUGCAUGAAAUUUAAUUUAUGCAUUCAAGUCUGGAAUCCUGCUUUAGCAAGGGAAACAAUUAUGAAUUCAGUUAAGAGUAUGGGUACAAACGGAUUACUUAAAAGAACAAUGAACUGGGAAAAAAAAAUUCCAGCUCCUAACAAGAAGGCCAUUACAUUCAGCUUUUCACGGUUUUGAACAUCUUGUGCGGGCUCAACAAUAAUACGUGGAGGAAGCUUCUAAUUAGGCAUUUAAAACGCUAGCAUUUACGCCAGGAAAACGUCAAGAAUGCCUUAUGUUAUAGACAUGUGAAUACCAUCUACAUAUAUAAGAGAUAUACCUUGUAAUCUUGUGCUGAACACCAGGCACACUCUACCUGUAGCAGGUUCUGAGGUAAAACAGGUCUUUGGUUUGGGUUCAAACUUUCUAUGAGUAUCCAAGAAGAACCUUGAACUUCUGAUCAUCCUUCUUCUACCCCCAAUGACAGGAAACAUUGACCACAAAAUCUGGUUUUCUGCGGUGCUGUUGGCUAAUUGCAUAGCUUUGAACAGGGUGGUGUUUUUGCAAAAAAAACGAUCCCGAACUCUCCCUAAUGUGUAGCUGUGGGUCUCUGUCUGCAUCUGCCUCCAUCAGAUGCUUCUGAUGACAAUUGUGCCAGGCACCAAUCUGGUCAAAGGAGACGGUCUAUUCAGGCUACAUAUCAAAGAUGGUCUUCUAGAAAUGGGCUCUUUCCCACAGAGUUUGGAUACAUAUUGGAAAACUGCCCCAGAGCCCUGCCUGUCAGCUGCCUGUCACUGACAUUCCUACUGGAUCUCUUUCCUGCCCUCUGACACCUCCUGGAAGUCCAUAAUCCCUGGAUCAGUGUCCUUAGCCUACAAAGUGGUUUGGAGAAGAUAUUCGCUCAAGUGCCCAGGUCUGGAGAAUCUAAACUUUGCAACACUCUUCUGGAGACAGCCUGGUCCUUUCUCACUGUGAAUAUUGGAAAGUUUCUAGUCAGAGAGCCUGGGUCUAAUAGGAAUCAUUGACAGACCCAGAGAAAUCCUUUGGAGCCAUGUGCCUCAGGUCUGUCCCACACAACCUUUACCCAGUCCCACCACAUUCUCUCAAAGAGGCCAAAGUUCACACAGUCCCUGAGCUGCCGAGGUUAAAGCUGAGAAAGGCCCCAUGAUCCUAUGUGCUUCUGAGUGUAUGCCCAACCAGGAAGGAGCAGAGCUGACAGAGGAGCUUAUGCAGGUAGUCCUUAGUGGGCUGCUCUUGGUUUUCAAAUCUAGAUGGCCACACCCAAGAGUGACUUGAGAGUUUCUCGGUGGGGUGCUUGGGAACAGCUACCUAGCUGGUGUGGUUAUUAUUCAGCCUCCAAAGCUGCUCUUUCACAGCAUGUUACAUAAGCUUGAGAAAACACUAUUUUCUCUAUUAAAGAACCAGGGAAGGUGAUCCUGAUGGGGAUAAAAUGUGUCCAAGGCAUAGCACUCAUGCAAAAAACAGUCUACAUGUAACUUCUACAUAAGAAAUGAACAGCAGACUCCUGAGAAACACUCGUUCUCUGGCAACAAAGGGGAACUUCCUUCAAAUAUUUAAUUAAAUAAGGCUGAGGAAUAUUUUCCGGAGGGAAAAUUUAGUUGCUGUCCCCUGUAUCUUUCAGGAUAUAUAUAUGGAAAGUGCAAAUGACAUUGUCUUCCUGGUGCCAGGCCAGUGAAUGGGUGGCACAAAAUGUUAAAUACCAAGUCAUUACUGAAGUUUCCCACAUGGCUGAAUCCAAUUAAUUAGGCCUAGCCAAACCUGCCAGCCGCACCCAGGACCCAGCUGAAUAACCCUUAGGAUUCAGGAACGCCCCUUCAACAAACACUCAUCUGUUGCUACCUGUGUUCAGCGAGUCAUUGCAGAUUCUUCCUGACAGAGCUUCCUCAACGAAAUCCAAAGCCUCUGCUUUAGAGCGCAUUAAAAAAAAAAAAGUUCUUUAAACCAUUUUACAGAUGGUGGUUUGUAUUUCUUUCUGAUCCAUGGUUUGCUCACAGCCAAGGAUAAUAUAACUCACUUUUUUAGGCCUGAGUCUGAAAAAGGGACUGGAUAGUUUCUUACAGCUCUAUCUGUUUUCCUUAAAGUUGACGUAAAUCUUCUUUUCUCUUCAAACAAAGCCUGUGGACUGUUAGCAGAAUGUGUCAGAAAUGCCUCUGGGCCCUGAGCUUUGGACAUGUCUCAGAGAGAUCUGGGGUAUCCUGGAGCAAACUCACGUCCCUGGGUCCCAAAGGUCCCAAAAGUACACUGGACUCACUGUUUCCACCAAGCCACCUUUAUUGAAUGCCAAUUACUGCCAGGUACUAGAUGGAAAAUAGAGUCACCCUUUAUGAUCUCCUAGGCUUCCCUUUUAGUUGAUGGGAAGGUAGGGAAGGAAC
rnacentral:lncRNA from 1 species